rnacentral:rRNA from 1 species
GUGGGGAAUCUUGCGCAAUGGGCGAAAGCCUGACGUAGCCAUGCCGCGUGAAUGAUGAAGGUCUUAGGAUUGUAAAAUUCUUUCACCGGGGACGAUAAUGACGGUACCCGGAGAAGAAGCUCCGGCUAACUUCGUGCCAGCAGCCGCGGUAAUACGAAGGGGGCUAGCGUUGCUCGGAAUUACUGGGCGUAAAGGGCGCGUAGGCGGACAGUUUAGUCAGAGGUGAAAGCCCAGGGCUCAACCUUGGAAUUGCCUUUGAUACUGGCUGUCUUGAGUACGGGAGAGGUGAGUGGAACUCCGAGUGUAGAGGUGAAAUUCGUAGAUAUUCGGAAGAACACCAGUGGCGAAGGCGACUCACUGGCCCGUUACUGACGCUGAGGCGCGAAAGCGUGGGGAGCAAACAGGAUUAGAAACCCGUGUAGUCC